AAGAAGAAGAAGAUGAUGAAGAUAACGAAGAAGAGGAAGAGGAAAAGAAGAAGAUGAUGAAGAUGAAGAAGAAGUGCUUAGCAUUGUAGGCAAAGCCAUUUUCUGGUGGCUGAGACUGUGAAAGCUUUGGCUUGGCUUAAUGUUGAGUUUGGGGGAGAAGCCCAGCGUGGGGAGCACGGCAGCAACACCCUGUUUCUCGUACAGUAUAUUCUCAUCAUUCCUCCAUGCCAGGGUUCAGAAGAGGAUUAAGCAGCUGCUGCUGCUCCUGAAGGUUAUCAGAGGUGUAACCGUGACCUCAUCAGACUUGCAUUCAGCACGUAACAACUUCAGUAACGUAUACAUAUAGCAACAAGGAUAUAAAGUAUUGGUGAAGUGCGUUUCCAGGAUGCUAAACCUGAGCAGCCAAACAGGGUCAGGGGCUUCUGCAUAGAUCCCAACAAGCAAAUAUCAGAUUAAAAAGCUGCCACCAGAGUCAACAGCAAAAGAAAGCAUAAAGCUGGAGGGGUUAAAGCAAGGAAUUUCUUCUGAAAGGGCAAACUUGUUCCUGGUUAGACACGUUUCAUCCCCGAGAUGUGAGAUUACGCAGAGAGUGUAGUUAAGAAAGGGUUUGAUAAGAAGACAGACAGACUGCCGUGACCAGGCGCAGGGUUGGGUCAGACAAGCAUACUGACCAGCCCUGGUUUACACCCAGAUGGCCCUUUGUGUACCCUUUUCUGGCUAUUCCUCCUUUUUUCCUCCCCGAUCCUCUUCCCCUGCAUACUCCUUCACCAGUUUGCAGUUUCACCAACCCCCCCCCCAAUAUCCAGGACCUGAGCGUUCGCCUCCACAUCAGUCACAAAGUCCCAGGUCACCUGCAGUAUCUUGACAGCCCAUCAAUUAGCAUCAGUGACGAUGUUUCUCUCUCAUCUUUGGUGUCAUUAUGUUUGCCUGCUGGGUUUGUGUCUCUGUAUAUCUUGUUUACAGCUUCCCCCUUUUCUUCUUGAUCCUUUUAGUAUUGCCAAGGUAUAAAAAAACCCCUCUCUUUGCAUAAAGCACAGGAAAACAUGCAACUGAGAAGUGUGUCCUUCCUGCAGGAGAAAAGUCUCCCUGCGGCCGCUGCUGGGAUUUUGGGAUGGGGCAAAGGAUCCAAGAGCAGGGGAGCUCGAGAGAGUUGGGGAGACAGUGAACAGAACGAGGGAAGGGCUUGCACAGCAUCUCAAACACAUCUGUGGAACUUUAACACCUGCAUGACAGCUGAGGACUCCUGCCACUAGAGUUAGCCAAAGAGGAUGAAAUUAAGACCCUCACCACCCCCAGUAAUGAAUUAUUCAGAGUUAGGACCGAAAGUAGCUUAAAGUAGCAAGGUCAUAUUAAUGUAUUAAAUUCCAACAUGAAGCGAUGAACUGGUGCAAAGCACUAGGUUUCGGACAAGGAAUGACAUGGAUUUCUGAAAACAGUAGCAGAAAAGAACGGUAGUUUGGGAAAAGCCCCAGGCUGGACUAAUUUUUCAUGAAUCUGGACUUUCUGGAAUGAGAUGUCCUGUUUGAAGCCAAAGGCCAUUUACAAUCGAUGGAUAAAAAAGAAUAUGCUAACAUUCAUUAUAAAUUAAUAAAAUUUUUAAAAGAG